GUGCCAGCAGCCGCGGUAAUACGUAGGUGGCGAGCGUUAUCCGGAAUUAUUGGGCGUAAAGGGAGCGUAGGCGGUUUAUUAAGUCUAAGGUGAAAGUUCGGGGCUCAACCCCGUGAUGCCUUAGAAACUGGUAGACUUGAGUACAGGAGAGGUGAGUGGAAUUCCAUGUGUAGCGGUAAAAUGCGUAGAUAUAUGGAGGAACACCAGUGGCGAAGGCGGCUCACUGGCCUGUAACUGACGCUGAGGCUCGAAAGCGUGGGGAGCAAAUAGGAUUAGAUACCCUAGUAGUCCACGCCGUAAACGAUGGAUACUAAGUGUUGGACGGAAGUUCUAGUGCUGCAGUUAACGCAAUAAGUAUCCCGCCUGGGGAGUAUGCGCGCAAGCGUAAAACUCAAAGGAAUUGACGGGGGCCCGCACAAGCGGUGGAGUAUGUGGUUUAAUUCGAAGCAACGCGAAGAACCUUACCAGGUCUUGACAUACCACGCAAAAGCACAGAGAUGUGUAAUAGUUAUGGUGGAUACGAGGUGGUGC
rnacentral:rRNA from 1 species